rnacentral:lncRNA from 1 species
GAGGAGGGUCUUCCGCAGGGGGGGCUCGGGGGGUCUUGGUCUGGGGGUUUGGGGCUUUCGGGGCGAGCUAACGGUAACGGGGCGUCUAUGACAUGCGCCUGGGGGAGGGUGCACGUCUGGCUGAGGCUGGAUGAGGAGGAGGGAGAGGAGAGAGAGGAGCAGGACUCACCCGGAGGAUCUCUCUGGAGAUGUAGGCGAUCCAGUCCUCCUUCAGCUGGUUUCCUUUGGUGUUUUUGACCAGGUCUGUGAUGGAGCCGGCGCCGCAGAACUCCAUCACCAGCUGAAAACACAACAGCGUUGAUUAUAGACGGGGCCGAGUCCUCGUCCAUUCCUCCAGGUCAGUUUUAGAGACCGUAGAGAAGACAAACCCAGAGCUGGUCGUCGUGUCCCGGCGGGCUCUUCUUGAUGAACGCUCCGUAGUACGUGGCGAUGUUCCUGUGGUGCGAAUACUUCUUCAGCAUGUUGAUCUCCAGCUUGAUCUCCUCCUCUUCAUCCUGAAACACAAAGUCACAGACCAGGGUUUAACAGGCAGCAGGAAGACACAGUCA